GACAGAGGCCCCGAGCGUUAGUCGGAAUUACUGGGCUUAAAGGGUGCGUAGGCGGGCGUGUAAGUGCUUUGUGAAAGCCCUGGGCUCAACCCAGGAACCGCAGGGCAUACUGCACGUCUUGAAGUAGCUAGAGGCCGGUGGAACGAUCGGUGGAGCGGUGGAAUGCGUAGAGAUCGAUCGGAACGCCAAGGGUGAAGACAACCGGCUGGGGCUUACUUGACGCUGAGGCACGAAAGCGUGGGGAUCAAACAGG
rnacentral:rRNA from 1 species